AAACUAGGGGUGGAGGCGCUGAAGCCGGUGCAGUUUGUCGAUGAUCUUAGACGCAUGUAAGAUGUUUUAGAAGAGAGCUUUAUGUAGUGCAAUAUAUUGUACUCGAUAUAUAACAAUGGGUAUUAUAAAUGACAAACCGAAUCAAACCGUUAAUGCGGAAUCGAGGGAGGUGCAAAAAACUGACAAACCAUUGAAACCUUGCUGCGCUUGUCCUGAAACGAAGAAGGCAAGGGACGAUUGCAUUAUCCUACUUGGUGAAGAAAACUGUAAAGAUUUGAUAGAAGCGCAUAAAACUUGUAUGCGGUCAUUAGGAUUUAACAUAUAAAUGUAAAUUAGCUAUAUAUUAUUAAUUAUUAUAUAACAUGCUCAGGUUGCAUUUUGAACGAAAAAUGAA
rnacentral:misc_RNA from 1 species